AUUCUGUGUGUCGUUCGUCGCCACCACCCCAAAUCGCUUCCCCCCGCCACCGCCUGUCCCCCGCCCUCGCCGCCUCCACCGCCCUCUCCGACUCAGCCGCUGGUUCCGCCGCCUCUGCCGAUUCCGCCUCCUCCGAUUGCGACGAGGAGAUGAUUAGCCUGUUGCGCCGGUGGCGGAGCGGCUAUGGUGUAUGGCGAACUGCAUGGCGUUGACGAGGUUCUCGGUGCGAGUACGAGCCGGGGCGGUAGCUGAUGCACGUCAGAGACGGGGAAGCUUCCUGCCCUGCGUCAUCCCGAUAUGUGGCUCGCUAUGUUGAUGGAAUCAUGGAACAAGGAGAAGGAACAAGCUCACAGCCAAAACCUGUUCCAAGAAGGCAUGUGAAAGGAAUCAGCUCCAUCCGGAAGGUGCAAGCUCACAGGCGGCACCUGCAUCCAAGAAGGCAUGUGCAAGGAAGCUCACCCUGAACCUGAAAUGAAGCCUACCUAGUACAGUGAUAGUACAGUUGUGAAUCUACAUAUGUACUUCUGUGAUAGUACAGUUCUGAAUCUAUUUGUGAACCAUGGUCUGUGCCAAGAAGCUAUCUCUGUUUUGGUGCUGUUCUAAAACAAGUGUGAUGGCACUUUUGUGCCUGGUAAUUCUGAACUUUUGUGAACCAUUAUGUGUGCAAGGAAGCUAGACGUACUCUUGUUGUCCA